CAAUUUUUUAACAGUGACAGUAAUUAUUUCCAGUCUGAAUUUGUCCAAUUUCAACUUCCAGACCACUGGAGUUAAGAUCAAGAUAUAAGCAGACAAGGGAGUAACAUCUUCAGAAAACACUGAGCAAGUUAGUCAAGAAUCCCAGUGGGGGAGCUGUUCUAAGGACACUAGGUCCCAGCAACCUGCUCCCCUCUCCAGGAGGCAUCAUUCCCCACCAUUAACACCAGCUGAACCUUUAAUAGGACAGACUUUUACAAAGCCCCUUCUCUCCCAGAAGGGUCUCAGCUACCAUCAACAACCAGAAAGGAAGUAAGAGAGCCAGCUUGCCCUGUGACACUGAGAAAAGAUGAGGGUCACAGUGAUAUCAUCAGAGAGUUACUCAGCUAGGUA